rnacentral:pre_miRNA from 1 species
UUAAAAGCAUAAGUAUGUCUCAUGCCAUAUUUGAUAUAUACUUAUACUAAAA